rnacentral:rRNA from 1 species
CAAUAGCGUAUAUUAAAGUUGUUGCAGUUAGAACGCACGUAGUCGGAUUUCGGGGCGGGCCGACCGGUCUGCCGAUGGGUACGCACUGGUCGGCGCGUCCUUCCUUCCGGAGACCGUGCCUACUCUUAACUGAGCGGGCGCGGGAGACGGAACUUUUACUUUGAAAAAAUCAGAGUGUUUCAAGCAGGCAUUGCGCUCUUGCAUGGAUUAGCAUGGGAUAAUGAAAUAGGACUUUGGUGCUAUUUUGUUGGUUUCGAACACCGAAGUAAUGAUUAAUAGGGACAGUCAGGGGCACUCGUAUUCCGCCGAGAGAGGUGAAAUUCUCAGACCAGCGGAAGACGAACCACUGCGAAAGCAUUUGCCAGGGAUGUUUNCACUGA